ensembl:lncRNA GTF2I-AS1 GTF2I antisense RNA 1
GAACUCCCUCACUUUCCGCUUCCCAGCAUUGGCGGGUUCCGGGACUGGUGGCUGCGGUAGCUCAUUGGCCUUUGGUCUCUUAGACGGUGGAGAAUAAUCAUCAUCUUGAAAAAGAAAAUGGUCAUUACUGGAAGAACCAUCUUACAGUUACAGUCACCUCCUGGUCAAUUCCCAACAUUCAAAAGCUAAAGAAACAGGCUCAGAGGAUGUUAUUUGAUUGGACUAUGUUGUAUCUCUGGAGAGCACAGCUGAGAUCAGACUGUGUGUGUGUAACUCCACUAGACUACGAGGGUGCUUCUCAUAAAGGUAAGAAAUGCAAAUUUGGCCUAAUAUACGAUGUUGCCCGGGGCAGCACUGGGUCACUUCUAUAGACACUUCUGUGUUAAUCAAGGGAAAUCUUAAGGGAAGGUGAAAAUGCUUCUAGAAGGCGACUGGACACCAGCACCCUUGCUUGCUGCCUUUGGGCUCUUCCUCUAAGGCCAACAGUGACCUGAAAUUAUUGACUGGCUGGCCGUGCUAAUCAACUGGAGAAAAUGGUUCCGAGGUCACCAACAUCAGACAAAUUCAUUUUAGGACCUAUGUAUGUGCUUAGAAAGACAGAAGUGCUUUUGUAAAGGAUACUAUUUCAGAAAAACAUAAUCAUAGUAACAACUAAUGACGCUAUAAAAUGCUGAUGUGUUGAAUGCUACUUUAGAAAAACAUGUUCAAAUCUAGGAAAAAAUUUGAUAGAAAACUAUCUAUCUAUCGGCAGGGUCUCAUUCUUUCUAUCUAUCUAUCUAUCUAUCUAUCUAUCUAUCUAUCUAUCUAUUGGCAGGGUCUCAUUCUAUCUAUCUAUCUAUCUAUCUAUCUAUCUAUCUAUCUAUCUAUCUAUCUGUCGGGAGGGUCUCAUUCUAUCGCCCAGGCUGGAGGGCAGUGGCAUGAUUAUAGCUCACUGCAACCUCGAGCUCCUGGCCUCAAAUGAUUCUCCUGCUUCAGCCUCCCAAAUAGCUGGGACCAACACACCUGGCUAUUUUUCUUUUAAUUUUUUGUAGGGACAGGGUCUCAUUAUGUUGCCCAGGCUGGUCUGAAACUCCUGGCCUCAAGUGAUCCUUCUGCCUCAGCCUCCCAAAGUGCGGAGAUUAUAGGCAUGAGCCACGGGACCAGGACAGAAAACAAUUUUAAAAUGACAACCUCCCUGUGAAAUAAAACUUGACUGGCACCUGGGUUUGUAUGACUGUAAGGAUUAAAAAUGGUCAAGACACCCUAUAAAUAGAUUAAGGUUCCA